ACUUAGCCCCGAUAGCAGCAAAAAUCCUUUACUUUGGCGAUAGCCAAAAGCAAAGAUUGAAGUGUAUAGCGGGACAAAAC
rfam:Flavobacterium frigoris strain DSM 15719 genome assembly, contig: Ga0131223_116